rnacentral:lncRNA from 1 species
GGGGGGACGUGCCACCCACCGCCACCGGCGAGCCCCCGCCGCCGCCCCCCGCGCAACCCCCGCGCCCCGCGGAAGCGCCACCGCACCUCCCCCCUUCCCGCGUCCCCCCACCCCACCCCGCCGCUCCGGGCCGCCGCCUCACCCCGCGCCCCUCGCUGUCGGGGUGCCGCCGCCGCGGGCCCGCCGCUGCCGGGCUGGCCAAACUUUGCCAAACUUUUAGUUUUCCCUUCUUUUCCCUCUGCCCGGGUCCACCCCCCGCUCCCCCCGUGCCGGUGUCGGUCGAGGAGGCGGCGGCGGCGGGCAGGGGAGCGGAGCGGGGCCGGCGGCCGGCAGCGGCGCGGCGGCAGGUGUGAGCCCGCGCCGGCCGGGAAGCUCCGGCAGCGGCAGCGCCCGGCGGAGCUCCGCGCCUCCGCCCGCCCGGAGGUCAGCACCGUCGGCCUCGGUAAUCAGCGCGGCGGGUGGCCCCGGUACGGCCCCGUGUGCCCCCCCCAACCCGUCCCCGAGGAGCGACGCCGAAGGAGCGGGACCGACUCACUCAUGGGAGCGCGGCGGGCGAGGCCGGCGACACCUCCGGCUUCCGAGGCGCCGGCGAAGUUAAUUGCACUGAAGUUCAAGUUGUCUUUUCACCCAUCAGGAGUGGGCGUUUAAAGGAAGGAGAGCGAGGAGGAGGAGGGGGAGGGGGAAGGGGGAGAGUCGCUCUCGCUCUCGCUCGCUCUCGCACACACACACACACACACACACGCGCGCACACGCGUGCACACGCAUGCACGCGCGCACACACACGCACACACAGGCACACACAAACACACCCGCCCGCUCGGCUCCGCUCCCGAGCUGCCUCAGCAAGGAGGAGCCCGGACGGAAAACACCCGGGCAGCAAGGAGACUGAGAAGAGAGGGGACCCUGGAUGUCAGUCCAUUCUCCGUUUUUUGUUUGUCUUGACUUUGAGGCAGAUUUCCUCUUUCAGCUCUGGAAACUGACAGGUGAAGGAAGUAUAUCAUUCUGACACCUGAAAAGUCCAGGAUCUCUCUAGAAAAUGAUGGAGCUUCUCUCAUCACCAAUUUUCUAUAGCCAAAGAAGCCCCAGCUACCUACUGUGUGGGAGGAGAGGCUCUAAACCAUAAACAGGCCAAUAAUACGUCACACCAUCUGAUUGCAAUGAAUGCGAAAGUAAAAGAUGGUUGGAACGGUGCCGGCGAAAGGUUGUUUCAGCUGGAGCAGAGGAGAGAAGGUUGUCCAACAUGUUUGAAACCACAGCUUGAUCCACAGUCUAUUGAGGCCAGUAAGGGUCUUCCCUUGGCAUCUGAAGGCUUUUGAUCAGUUGUGUCAGUUCCUCAAGACAAAGACCCUAAUCUUUGAGUUUAUCAGUGCGUGGUUUACAUUGGUGUAGCACUCAGUAAAUGAGGUGAGUUUGCUGGGUCAGGGACAGACAACCUGUUGCAAGUUCAUAACUGUUCUUAACUGCAUAGUGAAGACUGCUCAGAUCAUGGUUGUACAAAUAUGGCGAGCGAAUGAUAAGUGAAAUUCAGGCUCCGAAACUAUGCAGUUAAUUUCCAUUCCGGAGAACUAAGAGAAUCCAGCAAGAAGGGGUUCUCAGGUACUGAGGUGACCAACACUUCUAAAAUACACCAGCAUGCAAGCUUUUGCUGAGCAAAUUAUAAACUUCCACGCUAUUGCAGAAUGACUGUCAGUUCCUGCCUCAUAAAACCUAAACGUAAUUUUUUUCAAAGAGUUAAUCAAAGUACACCACCAAGAAUAAGUCACUUCAGGAAUUACCAUCAACGAACUCAUUUGAACCUAGCCCAGCUGCUGCCUGAAGCUUCAAACAGAUAUACCACUUAUUCCUGGCACUCUCCCGUUCCUCAUUGUCCAUCACAUCUCACUGGAAAAUGGGGAGAGCAACUGUUACAGCUACAGAGAAGUCUGCAGAAGGGUUGACAUCAAAGAUGUGUUUUUCCUUUCUCAGUGUGUUAAUUUUCUUUUCACUUUUACAAACAGUGGCUGGUAUAUGUUUUGGAAGGCUUGUGCUUCUGGCUUGAUUUUACACCACCUAUUGUUAAAGGCCAAUUGGUAUUACACUGAAAUAGUAGGUUUGGUUUAUUUAUUUAGAAUAUCUCUUUUUCUUUUGGAAUUUUUCUGUUAAAUGAAAAUCUCUUUGCCCACAGAUGAGCCGUAGUAACUUUCACUGGGAAAGUAGCUUUCUGUCAGUAUUUUUUUGUAUAUCUUCUCUUUAAAAAAAAGUGUCAUGAAAAGAGCUGUAAAACCUGCCAUUGCUUGCAAAGAAAAGAAAUUGUAAUCAAUUCCUACAACAGAGUAACAAUUCUUUAAUAUUUGCAGUAUUCAGUAGGAGUUCAUUAGUGUAACAACAGCACAUCCCGUGAAUCACACUUUAACGUUGUUGAAGCUUUUUAUAGUAAAAUAGAUUAAGGGUGGAGAAUUCAUGUAAAGGGACAAGAAUGUAACUCACACAUUAGUCAGUGAUUGUGAAUCAAAAUUAUUCUGGGUAAUUAAGUAAGCCUGAAGGUGUUUAAGUACACUAAAAGAGAGCCAAUACAGCGUAAAAUACUUUUGGGCUAAAGAAAGCAUAAAUCACAGCAACUUACCCUAGAUUUCGACUCAGCCACUGCUUAAGUUACAUACUGUGUAAAUCCAUAAAGCCAGCUACUACAGGCUCUCAGUUUGUUGAAUGUUUUAAUUAAGGGGAUUUUGUCAAGGUAUUUCUCAUUAUUAGGAGAAUAUUGUAUACAAAACGACUAGAGAUGGGUGAAUUCAUUUUACCUCAUUACAAGCCCAUUCAAAGACCAUCUCUAAUCAUGAAAUAUUAUUAGCUUCUUGUUUUUUUCAGAAGAUGAUCACAUGGAAUAAUAUCUAAUGAUAAAAUAAGGGAAAUAGAAGAAAGCAGCAUAGGAAAACAACUACGAACAUAGUGUGAAGAAUGGAUUAGAUAGCAUGGAAAGAGGAUCUGAAAGAAAAACUAGUAAUACCUCCUGCCCAUGGUCCAAAGAAAUAUCUGACAUGUUGGGUAGCUAUGUGUUAUUUUCUGACCUGCUAAGUAAGGUUUAAAUUACAUCAAAGAAAUGUCUGCAAAGUCAAGCUAGCUCUGUAAAACCUGUGGAUCAUAAGAAUAAUGUAAGAUGUUCACAGACAUUGAGUUUGCUCAAGACUGAUGAUAAUCCCUUGUGAAAUGCAAACUGAAAUUUGUUUUUCUACCAAAACAAGGCCUUUUUCUUCUCCCUCUUCCCAUUCACAGACACAGGCACGUUGUUGGCUUGUUAUUGUAGUUUAUGAAUGUUGGCCUUUAUUCUUGUGAAAUUAGUAUUAUCAACUUCAUUUGACAAAAUGUAAAAUUCUAUGUAAAGCUGACAGACUUGGAAAAAGUAGUAGAAACUAAAAGGAGAUAAACAUAGCUUUAUGAAACUGUGUUUUCUUAAAUAGUUCUUUUACUCUGAAGGGCUACAUAAUUACACCAAGCCAUAUGUGUGUCUUUUUUUUCUUUAAUAUAUAUUCUUGAAACUGGACAAGUGCUAAUAGCACCACUCAGGAGAAUGACAUCUAUCAUCUAGAAAGUUCUCAUUAUAGCUUACUUUAUCAGUUCAAUGAUGAAAAAAAAAAAA